GGGGGGCUGGCGCAACGGUAGCGCGUCAGAUUCCAGUACUUGGAGAUUCCUGAAGGUUAUCCGUUCGAAUCGGGUGCUCCUCA